rnacentral:rRNA from 1 species
AGCAUAUCAAUAAGCGGAGGAAAAGAAACUAACAAGGAUUCCCCUAGUAACGGCGAGUGAAGCGGGAAGAGCUCAAAUUAAAAUCUGGCAGUGUAUUCCUGUCCGAGUUGUAGUCUAGAGAAGCAUCAUCCGUGCUGGACCAUGUACAAGUCUCUUGGAACAGAGCGUCAUAGAGGGUGAGAAUCCCGUCCUUGACAUGGACUCCCAGUACUUUGUGUUGUGCUCUCAACGAGUCGAGUUGUUUGGGAAUGCAGCUCAAAAUGGGUGGUAAAUUCCAUCUAAAGCUAAAUAUUGGCGAGAGACCGAUAGCGAACAAGUACCGUGAGGGAAAGAUGAAAAGCACUUUGGAGAGAGAGUUAAACAGUACGUGAAAUUGUUGAAAUGGAAACGCUUGAAGUCAGUCGCGUUCUCUGGGAUUCAGCCUUGCUUCUGCUUGGUGCAUUUCCAGUCUACGGGCCAGCAUGAAUUUCGACCGGUGGAAAAAGAUUUGGGGAAUGUGGCACUUCGGGUGUGUUAUAGCCCCUUGUCAGAUACAUUGGUUGGGAUUGAGGUCUUAGUGCACGCUUCGGUUGUGCUUUGAUGCUGGCGUAAUGGCUUUAAACGACCCGUCUUGAAACACGGACCAAGGAGUCUAACAUGUCUGCGAGUGUUUGGGUGGAAAACCCAGCGCGAAAUGAAAGUGAUAAGUUGGGAACCUCGCAAGAGGGGCACCGACGCCCGGACCAGACCUUCUGUGACGGAUCCGAGGUAGAGCAUAUAUGUUGGGACCCCAAAGAUGGUGAACUAUGCCUGCAUAGGGUGAAGCCAGAGGAAACUCUGGUGGAGGCUCGUAGCGAUUCUNACGUGCAAAUCGAUCGUCAAAUGUGGGUAUAGGGNCNAAAGACUAAUCGGACCAU